rnacentral:rRNA from 1 species
GGGAAAGCUUUUGCGGCGUGGGAUGGGGUCGCGUCCUAUCAGCUUGUUGGCGGGGUGAGGGCCCACCAAGGCUUCGACGGGUAGCCGGCCUGAGAGGGCGACCGGCCACAUUGGGACUGAGAUACGGCCCAGACUCCUACGGGAGGCAGCAGUGGGGAAUAUUGCACAAUGGGCGCAAGCCUGAUGCAGCGACGCCGCGUGCGGGAUGGAGGCCUUCGGGUUGUAAACCGCUUUUGUUUGGGAGCAAGCCCUUCGGGGUGAGUGUACCUUUCGAAUAAGCACCGGCUAACUACGUGCCAGCAGCCGCGGUAAUACGUAGGGUGCGAGCGUUAUCCGGAUUUAUUGGGCGUAAAGGGCUCGUAGGCGGUUCGUCGCGUCCGGUGUGAAAGUCCAUCGCCUAACGGUGGAUCUGCGCCGGGUACGGGCGGGCUGGAGUG